UACGGAGGGUGCAAGCGUUAUCCGGAUUCACUGGGUUUAAAGGGUGCGUAGGCGGGCAGGUAAGUCAGUGGUGAAAUCUCCGAGCUUAACUUGGAAACUGCCAUUGAUACUAUUCGUCUUGAAUUCUGUUGAGGUGGGCGGAAUAUGUCAUGUAGCGGUGAAAUGCAUAGAUAUGACAUAGAACACCGAUUGCGAAGGCAGCUCACUAAGCAGACAUUGACGCUGAGGCACGAAAGCGUGGGGAUCAAACAGG
rnacentral:rRNA from 1 species